rnacentral:rRNA from 1 species
GCCCAGACUCCUACGGGAGGCAGCAGUGGGGAAUAUUGGACAAUGGGCGCAAGCCUGAUCCAGCCAUGCCGCGUGUGUGAAGAAGGCCUUUUGGUUGUAAAGCACUUUAAGCGAGGAGGAGGCUACUUAGAUUAAUACUCUAGGAUAGUGGACGUUACUCGCAGAAUAAGCACCGGCUAACUCUGUGCCAGCAGCCGCGGUAAUACAGAGGGUGCGAGCGUUAAUCGGAUUUACUGGGCGUAAAGCGUGCGUAGGCGGCUUCUUAAGUCGGAUGUGAAAUCCCUGAGCUUAACUUAGGAAUUGCAUUCGAUACUGGGAAGCUAGAGUAUGGGAGAGGAUGGUAGAAUUCCAGGUGUAGCGGUGAAAUGCGUAGAGAUCUGGAGGAAUACCGAUGGCGAAGGCAGCCAUCUGGCCUAAUACUGACGCUGAGGUACGAAAGCAUGGGGAGCAAACAGGAUUAGAUACCCUGGUAGUCCAUGCCGUAAACGAUGUCUACUAGCCGUUGGGGCCUUUGAGGCUUUAGUGGCGCAGCUAACGCGAUAAGUAGACCGCCUGGGGAGUACGGUCGCAAGACUAAAACUCAAAUGAAUUGACGGGGG